rnacentral:lncRNA from 1 species
UCGACCGGUGCGGCGCCUGCGCACUGGAACCAGGCGUGCGGCGCCCCAGGCGCCGGGCCUGCGGCGGCCGGAACCGGAACGCGCGCCCGCGGGGUAGGAGACCUGGAGCUGGAGAACCCGCCCGCCAGAGUCGUAGUAGUGGAUGGGGAGUAGCCGUCCCAUUUUCAACACAUGUCUCAUUCUAAAUUGACGUUUUGGUGGGCUGGCCGAAGAAGGAGAAAGACCCGCGGCUCCGACCUCUGACCUCUAACCCCGGACGCACUUUGAUUUCGCCGGCUUGCGCGGAAGGCUGACUCCCUGGGCCGCGGCCUGGCGCGGGAGCCGCCUGUGGGGUGUCCCCGGCGCGGGAGGGUGCUCUGGUUCAGGCCCGCUGCCCAGGUAUGCACAAGUCAAGGCCUUUUCUGCAGACCAAGUAGCCUUCCCUGGAGAGCGCCCCCAGCACCACGGAAACUACCUACAUGCCCCGCGGUGGUCAGCCCGCCUUAUCCCAGCCCCGAGACCCAAAACAAGAAGCAUGGACUGAAUUUGAGGUUUCUGGAUGGUCGUGUGAACCGAGGGGACGGGUACUGGACUGACAAGAAAUGAGCCUUGAAGGUCAAUCUGGGUGACACCCGAGUCUCCUGAUGGAGUUUCACUAUGUUGCCCAGGCUGAUCUGGAACUCCUGACCUCAAGCAAUCCACCUGCCUCAGCCUCCCAAAGUACUGGGAUUACAGGAGGGAGCCACCGUGCCCGGCCUGGUCCUGUGCAUUUUAUAGAUAAGGUAACUGACAAACCUAGCCACAGUCACCCCUUCGCCCUAAAGGAGAACUGGAAUUUGAACCCAGAGCCUUCUUCACCACCAUCUCCGUUGUUUCUGGAAGCACCCUCCAGGCAGGCCAGCCAGCAUCACGGGGCCUCCCCUGGGGCUGGAACGUCUGCAGGAUGCCCCUUUGAGAAAUGCUGUUCCACAGAACCCUGCCUUUCAGGCCUUGGAGACGUGGGCAGGGGAGAAGCAGCGUCCCUCAGAGCCAGGCCUGGCAGUGGUGCUAGCAGGGGCCAAGGCCCAGGGAGCAGGGUCUCCUGUCGGAGGGACCUGGGCAAGCCCCUCCACGCGCCAGCGGGUUUCUCAGCAGGGGAGGUCCACACCACACCGCUUGGGAACCUGGGUGCCUAAACGCAACAGGAGCCAAGGCACAAAUUUAACCAAACACCAAGGUUGCGUGAGGCCCCAUUUCAUGAGCCGGGCUCCAAGGACGUGUCCUUAGGCGGCUCUGGAAGGCCCAGCGCCAGCCCCCGUCCUCUGUUAAAGGGAGCCAGCCCCGCGGCUCCGCCCAGGCAUGGUAGCCUGAGCGCGCCCCCAGGGUAGUAGGGGGCACCUGAGGAGCAGGGUCUGCCCUGGCAUGAGCAGAGCCCAGGAUGGGGUCAGGGUCAGGCCCUGCCAGAGGCUGGAGGGUGCCCAAGGCGAGGCCGGUGAGGCCCAGCUCUACAAAUAAAGUGUUUUAUUUACAGGAAAAAAAAAAAAAAAAA